rnacentral:tRNA from 1 species
GGAGGGUUGGCAGAGUCCGGCUUAUCGCACCGCAUUGCUAGUGCGGCAACCGAAAGGUUCGUGGGUCCGAAUCCCACACCCUCCGCAA